UACGUAGGUGGCAAGCGUUGUCCGGAUUUAUUGGGCGUAAAGGGAACGCAGGCGGUUUUUUAAGUCUGAUGUGAAAGCCUUCGGCUUAACCGGAGAUAUGCAUUGGAAACUGGAAGACUUGAGUGCAGAAGAGGAGAGUGGAACUCCAUGUGUAGCGGUGAAAUGCGUAGAUAUAUGGAAGAACACCAGUGGCGAAAGCGGCUCUCUGGUCUGUAACUGACGCUGAGGUUCGAAAGCAUGGGUAGCGAACAGG
rnacentral:rRNA from 1 species